UACGUAGGGACCGAGCGUUGUCCGGAUUUAUUGGGCGUAAAGAGCUCGUAGGCGGCUGUCCACGUCGGGUGUGAAAGCUCGGGGCUCAACCCUGAGAGGUCAUUCGAUACGGGACAGCUUGAGGCAGCUAGGGGAGAUUGGAAUUCCUGGUGUAGCGGUGAAAUGCGCAGAUAUCAGGAGGAACACCGGUGGCGAAGGCGGAUCUCUGGGGCUGUUCUGACGCUGAGGAGCGAAAGCUGGGGGAGCAAACAGGAUUAGAAACCCGCGUAGUCC
rnacentral:rRNA from 1 species